CCUACGGGAGGCAGCAGUGGGGAAUAUUGGGCAAUGGGCGCAAGCCUGACCCAGCAACGCCGCGUGAGUGAUGAAGGUCUUCGGAUUGUAAAGCUCUGUCGCAGGGGACGAAGUAUGACGGUACCCUGUAAGAAAGCCCCGGCAAACUACGUGCCAGCAGCCGCGGUAAUACGUAGGGGGCUAGCGUUGUCCGGAAUUACUGGGGGUAAAGGGAGUGUGGACGGCUUGUCAAGUUAAGUGUGAAAGCCUGCGGCUUAAACGUAGAAUUGCACUUAAAACUGAGUCGAUAGAGUGCAGGAGAGGUGAGUGGAAUUAGCAGUGUAGCGGUGGAAUGCGUAGAUAUUAGGAGGAACACCAGAGGCGAAGGCGGCUCACUGGACUGUAACUGACGUUGAGGCUCGAAAGCGUGGGGAGCAAACAGGAUUAGAUACCCUAGUAGUC
rnacentral:rRNA from 1 species